rnacentral:rRNA from 1 species
GCCGCCCUCCCCUCCUCCCCUCCCUCCAAACUUUAACUAAAAUAUUCUCACAGUUUAGUAAAGAAGAUUAAAAAACUAACCAACCCUCCCCGAGCUAUAAAUUUGUACCGCAAGGGAAAGAUGAAAUAAAAUGAAAUAACCUUAAGCACAAAAAAGUAGAGACUCACCCUCGUACCUUUCGCAUCAUGAUUUAGCUAGUCUAAUUGAGCAAAAAGACCUUAAGUCCAACCCCCCGAAACUAAGUGAGCUAUUUUAGGGCCGCUUAAUGAGCCCACCCGUCUAUGUCGCAACAUAGUGGGAAGACCCUAAAAUAGAGGUGAUAGGCCUAACGAACUUAGUGAUAGCUGGUUUCUCAAGAAAAGAAUUUAGUUCAACACAAAAUAAUUAUUACAAUCCCAAGUUUCCCCCCCCAUUUUGAAGCAAUUCAAAUGAGGUACAGCCCAUUUGACACAGGACACAACCUUUACUAAUGGGUAACAUCAAAGUACACUUAAAAGUAGGCCUAAAAGCAGCCAUCUUAAAAAGCGUCAAAGCUUAAUUUGUAUACUCACCAAUUUAUUAAACCCCACAGACCCCUUUAAUAGUAUUGAGAACCUCUAUAACCUUAUAGAGUCUUUUCUGCUAAAACUAGUAACAAGAGGUCACCCCUCUCUUUAAUGCAAACACAACCCAGCAAGAACCCAUCACUGGCAACCAACAGAAUUAUGUAGCAACCCUGCUAGAAAACCCUACACCCACCACCCCGUUAACCUAACACAAGAGCAUUUCAAGAAAGAUUAAAAGAAAAAGAAGGAAUUCCGCAAACAAUAGUCCCGCCUGUUUACCAAAAACACCGCCUCUUGACCACAUAAGAGGUCCAGCCUGCCCAGUGACUCUGUUCAACGGCCGCGGUAUCCUAACCGCGCGAAGGUAGCGUAAUCACUUGUUUUCUAAAUAAAGACUAGUAUGAAAGGCAUCACGAGGUCUAAACUGUCUCCUCUCUCUAAUCAGUAAU